rfam:Geobacter sp. FRC-32, complete genome.
UAAAAACUAAAUCUCCGAGUCGUAAUUGCCUACCGGGGAUGACAAAGCUGUCAUUCCCAUGGCAACCGACCAUUGGGUCCUGCUGGAAACGGCAGCGCCUCCCUUUUGGAAAGGAGAGUCACCGAACGGCAU